GUAAACACGGUGGAACGUCAUAACCGUACCUUAAUUACAUGUAUUUCUACUUUCAUAGAAAACGACCACAGAGCUUGGGACGUUAACUUGCCAAAAAUAACCUUUGCUAUCAAUAACUCACGAAGCGAAGUUACUAAUUUCACGCCUUCCUUUCUUGUUUACGCGCGAGAGUUAGUAACGUGCGGUUCGCACUACGUAGAUAACGACCUUUCCAAUGAAGUAAUUUUUCUACCUCGCAGUAUUUAUGCCGAAAAUGUUGGUCCCAUGGCAAAUAUAUUUGAUGAAGUCCAAACUCGUCUUUGGCAGGCUCACGCAAAAAACACCUCUCGCUACAACUUAAGACGCCUACCAACCGAAUUCAACGUCAAUGACAUAGUUUGGAGAAAAACCUAUUACCAAAGUGAUAAAGACCAUUAUUUUAGCAAGAAGUUGGCACCGAAGUUUUUAGAAUGUAAAAUAGUACGUAAAAGGUCUCCUCUAGUCUACGACUUGCAAGAUACGUCCGGCAAAGAUUUGGGCACUUGGCAUAUUAAGGACCUCAAACUAGUAAGACGCUCAAGAUAAUAAAUGAAUUUAGUACAAAUACAUAUAUAAAUAGAGCUUAGUUUAGUGUUUAGUGUACCUAUCGGAUUUUUUAAUUAAGGUGAGCAAAAAUCCUUCCCUAGGGAGCGGGGUAACUGUAGCGUUAAUUAUUUCUUAGUAAAUUAUAAGAAUUAAAAUAAAUAUAUUCUCAUAUAUUUACAACAUUUAAUCUUGUCGUUAUGACAAAUAAAUAGGAAAUGAUAAGUAUCGACGUCGAUACUGUCGAUACUAUCGACUUUUCCAAUCCCGCGUACUUGUUUACGCGAUAUCGCCGGCGCCAUGUUAUAACGGUGCCUCGGCCCGGAGAAGAGAUCAAACUGCAGCGCGGCGCGCACGUCGCUCGUGCACAGAUAUGGGCCGCGCCCUUGAAUCGUCAUGUGUGAAUUUCUAAUAGUUAUAUGAAACCAUAAAACACAUAGUUAAUUUAUAAAAGGUGCAUCUCGUUUGUUACGACACUUCAUUACAAAUCAAGUGCAUAUAUUCCCCCACUUUGGGGACUACUCGACGGGCUCACUACUAUCACGCCCGCAAACCUUCACCCUGCCUGGACGCCUCUGCCCACUCGCGUCGAACGCCGCGUCACACGCCACUACCGACGCCAGGACGCCAGGACAGUAACGCUCAGCUACGCUGCGAUCCAUUUGCCAUCACCACCGUAGGCCUACGACCCACGUCCCUAAAUAGUCCUAAUAAAUAGAUUUAACACUUUGUA